CUCAGACAGUGGCUAAGAAGCUACUAGAAGACAUCUUACCCAGAGGGCUCCAGAAGGUGCACGAGGACAUUUGGCUGCGCCUCCAUGCCAUCUACAAGGCUGGCCCGACCCCGACACCUCAUCACUACAGGCCGGGAGACUGGGUCUACGUCAAGAGGCACCACUGAGAGACACUUGAGCCAUGCUGGAAGGGACCCUACAUUGUGGUGCUGACAACCCCCACCACUCUCAAAGUAGAGGGCAUCGUGACCUGGGUCCAUCACACCCACGUUCGGCCAGUGGACCCCUCCUUGAUCCGGAAGGACUUUGCAACACAAUGGGCCAUCAAUCGGGACCAACACAACCUGCUCAAGGUCGAGUUACAGCGCAUUCGACCCAUCUGAUAUUGGUAACUCUGUUAACUCUGCUUGUCACUGCUCAUGCUGCCGGGAGUCCCCACGCCCC